rnacentral:rRNA from 1 species
UACGGAGGGAGCUAGCGUUAUUCGGAAUUACUGGGCGUAAAGCGCACGUAGGCGGCUUUGUAAGUAAGAGGUGAAAGCCUGGUGCUCAACAUCAGAAUUGCCUCUUAGACUGCAUCGCUUGAAUCCAGGAGAGGUGAGUGGAAUUCCGAGUGUAGAGGUGAAAUUCGUAGAUAUUCGGAAGAACACCAGUGGCGAAGGCGGCUCACUGGACUGGUAUUGACGCUGAGGUGCGAAAGCGUGGGGAGCAAACAGG